UACGAAGGGGGCUAGCGUUGCUCGGAAUCACUGGGCGUAAAGGGUGCGUAGGCGGGUCUUUAAGUCAGGGGUGAAAUCCUGGAGCUCAACUCCAGAACUGCCUUCGAUACUGGCGAGCUCGAGUCCGGGAGAGGUGAGUGGAACUGCGAGUGUAGAGGUGAAAUUCGUAGAUAUUCGCAAGAACACCAGUGGCGAAGGCGGCUCACUGGCCCGGUACUGACGCUGAGGUGCGAAAGCGUGGGGAGCAAACAGG
rnacentral:rRNA from 1 species